rnacentral:rRNA from 1 species
ACGCGAAGAACCUUACCAGGUCUUGACAUCCUCGGAACUUGGCAGAGAUGCCUUGGUGCCUUCGGGAACCGAGAGACAGGUGCUGCACGGCUGUCGUCAGCUCGUGUCGUGAGAUGUUGGGUUAAGUCCCGUAACGAGCGCAACCCUUGUCCUUAGUUGCCAGCGCGUAAUGGCGGGAACUCUAAGGAGACUGCCGGUGACAAACCGGAGGAAGGUGGGGACGACGUCAAGUCAUCAUGGCCCCUACGACCUGGGCUACACACGUGCUACAAUGGAACGCACAGAGGGUUGCAACCUCGCGAGAGUGAGCCAAUCCCACAAAACGUUUCGUAGUCCGGAUCGGAGUCUGCAACUCGACUCCGUGAAGUCGGAAUCGCUAGUAAUCGCGGAUCAGAAUGCCGCGGUGAAUACGUUCCCGGGCCUUGUACACACCGCCCGUCACACCAUGGGAGUGGGUUGCUCCAGAAGUGGUUAGCCUAACCUUCGGG